GGGAAAUUGAGUGAAUAUAUUUAAGAAAAAAGUGUCUCUACCUGAUAAAUGGUCCCCCAUUUAUAAUCCUUACAUUCAUAACUGACCAUUAAUUACCAUAAACUGUCGUAUCUUCCGUUACUUUCCCAUCAAAACCCAUCAAUGCUUCUUUGCGCCACCAUCACUCUGACCUUAAGUCCAACCGACCGGUCACCUUGCAAAUGGGUUUUACCCCCUCCGGUUCUUCUGGUCGGUCUAACCGGACCCCUUACGCUACACAAGCCCCCCAAGCCCCAAGCGACAUCGUCAGCGAAGGGGUUUGACAACCUGCGAAAUGGGAAUCCUGGCACUGAAACGUCUCAACACCUCAGCCACCUGAUUAAACCUUCACGAAUGGUCAAGAUCUCAUUGCCCGUCAAUCAUACCUGUUCAUCGAAGAGUCACCAAUUUCCCUUGGUUAGAUCUGCCGCCUAUGGACGGCUGGGAUGAACCCCCCAAUCCAUUUUUCGCGGCUAUAAAAGGUGGAGGGUCCCCCUCCCAUUUUCUUCACUCCUUCC
rnacentral:lncRNA from 1 species